rnacentral:rRNA from 1 species
UACGUAGGGGGCAAGCGUUGUCCGGAUUUAUUGGGCGUAAAGAGCUCGUAGGCGGUCUGUCACGUCGGCUGUGAAAACCCGGGGCUCAACCCCGGGCCUGCAGUCGAUACGGGCAGACUAGAGUGCGGUAGGGGAGACUGGAAUUCCUGGUGUAGCGGUGAAAUGCGCAGAUAUCAGGAGGAACACCGGUGGCGAAGGCGGAUCUCUGGGCCAUUACUGACGCUGAGGAGCGAAAGCGUGGGGAGCGAACAGG